rnacentral:rRNA from 1 species
GAUGAACGCUGGCGGCGUGCCUAAUACAUGCAAGUCGAGCGAACGGACGAGAAGCUUGCUUCUCUGAUGUUAGUGGCGGACGGGUGAGUAAAACGUGGAUAACCUACCUAUAAGACUGGGAUAACUUCGGGAAACCGUAGCUAAUACCGGAUAAUAUUUUGAACCGCAUGGUUCAAAAGUGAAAGACGGUCUUGCUGUCACUUAUAGAUGGAUCCGCGCUGCAUUAGCUAGUUGGUAAGGUAACGGCUUACCAAGGCAACGAUGCAUAGCCGACCUGAGAGGGUGAUCGGCCACACUGGAACUGAGACACGGUCCAGACUCCUACGGGAGGCAGCAGUAGGGAAUCUUCCGCAAUGGGCGAAAGCCUGACGGAGCAACGCCGCGUGAGUGAAGAAGGUCUUCGGAUCGUAAAACUCUGUUAUUAGGGAAGAACAUAUGUGUAAGUAACUGUGCACAUCUUGACGGUACCUAAUCAGAAAGCCACGGCUAACUACGUG